AUGAACGCUGGCGGCGUGCCUAAUACAUGCCAGUCGAGCGAACGGACGAGAAGCUUGCUUCUCUGAUGUUAGCGGCGGACGGGUGAGUAACACGUGGAUAACCUACCUAUAAGACUGGGAUAACUUCGGGAAACCGGAGCUAAUACCGGAUGAUAUUUUGAACCGCAUGGUUCAAAAGUGAAAGACGGUCUUGCUGUCACUUAUAGAUGGAUCCGCGCUGCAUUAGCUAGUUGGUAAGGUAACGGCUUACUAAGGCAACGAUGCAUAGCCGACCUGAGAGGGUGAUCGGCCACACUGGAACUGAGACACGGUCCAGACUCCUACGGGAGGCAGCAGUAGGGAAUCUUCCGCAAUGGGCGAAAGCCUGACGGAGCAACGCCGCGUGAGUGAUGAAGGUCUUCGGAUCGUAAAACUCUGUUAUUAGGGAAGAACAUAUGUGUAAGUAACUGUGCACAUCUUGACGGUACCUAAUCAGAAAGCCACGGCUAACUACGUG
rnacentral:rRNA from 1 species